AUGUUGCUGCGAGUGGCGAGGAGCGCGCGGUCUGUGGCCUGCAGCCUGCGCAACGCCUGGCCUUCUGCCCUCCGGGGCCCUGGGCGCAGAGCACUGCCACCGUCCGUUCACUGCACACGGAUCUGCUUUGCUGUAGGUGUGUAAAUUCACAGAGAAACAUGAGUGGAUAACAACAGAGGAAGGUAUUGGAACGGAAGCUUUGGGAGAUGUUGUUUACUGUAGUCUGCCUGAAGUUGGGACAAAAUUGAAAAAGCAAGAGGAGUUUGGCACUUUGGCGAGAGUGACGGCUGCCAGUGAACUCUAUUCUCCUCUGUCAAGAGAGGUAACUGAAAUCAAUGAAGCACUUGCAGAAAACCCAGGGCUCGUCAAUAAAUCCUGUUACGAAGAUGGUUGGCUGAUCAAGAUGACACUGAGUGGCCCUUCAGGGCUGGAUGAAUUAAUGAGGGAUGAAGCAUAUGAGAAAUAUGUGAAGUCCAUUGAGGAGUGACCAUGACACCCCUCCACUUCCAGAUAAAACUGGGACUUGACCUGCUCCAGCAUGCUUGUCUUAAACUAGUGGAGAGUAGAGGACUUGAAAUAACUUAGCAAUACUGAUGGAAAGAAACUGUUCUUGACAGUGCUAAAGACACGCCCCCAACUUUCUAAUGGAUGCAGAUAAACACAGUGUACAGAUUUUUGAUAAUCACCAUACUAAGUAUCUAGACUAGGGGUUAAGCUCUGGUGUUUAGAAUUCUUAAGAUCAUCUGCAAUGAAAAGUGCUUAUGAGGCUGGGUUUGGUGACAGACCACCAUUUAAUCUCGGCAUUCACCAGGCAGAUGUUAGUUCGAGGUCAGUCUACAAAACAAGUUCUAGACCAGCCACAGCUACAUGGUUAGACCCUACGUACUGGUUAUAAGAAUUUCAUAAUUCAAGAUAG